GAUGAAGGACGUGCUAAUCUGCGAAAAGCGUCGGUAAGGUGAUAUGAACCGUUAUAGCCGGCGAUGUCCGAAUGGGGAAACCCAGUGCAAUUCGUUGCACUAUCGUUAACUGAAUACAUAGGUUAACGAGGCGAACCGGGGGAACUGAAACAUCUAAGUACCCCGAGGAAAAGAAAUCAACCGAGAUUCCCCCAGUAGCGGCGAGCGAACGGGGAGCAGCCCAGAGUCUGAAUCAGCUUGUGUGUUAGUGGAACGGUCUGGAAAGUCCGACGGUACAGGGUGAUAGUCCCGUACACCAAAAUGCACAGGCUGUGAACUCGAAGAGUAGGGCGGGACACGUGGUAUCCUGUCUGAAUAUGGGGGGACCAUCCUCCAAGGCUAAAUACUCCUGACUGACCGAUAGUGAACCAGUACCGUGAGGGAAAGGCGAAAAGAACCCCGGCGAGGGGAGUGAAAAAGAACCUGAAACCGUGUACGUACA
rnacentral:rRNA from 1 species